UCGGUGGUAUUGAGAGAUGUAAAAGAUAAAGUGAGAUGGACUUUGACAAAAAAUGGGAUUUAUACAGUAAAAUCCUUAUACAGACAUCUUAUAGAGAAUGGAGUCAAAUACCCACACCUCUAUAUGUGGAAAAUUAAAAUGCCACCUAGAGUCAAAGUCUUUAUGUGGCUGGCUCUCAGAAAUAGCAUUCUCACUAAGGAUAACCUGCGGCGCAGGGGGUGGAAAGGUGAUGAAAACUGUCCAUUCUGUGGGCAUAGAGAGAGUGUUAAUCAUCUGUUUCUAACCUGCUUAGUAGCUAGGCUUCUGUGGAAUAUUUUAAAAUGUGCUUUCAACUUAACUGAUAUACCAGACGAAUUAGAACUGGUGGUUAAAAAUUGGACAAAAAACUUUGGAAAAGAUGAGAGGAGUUUAGUUUUGAUAGGAAUUUUGGCUAUCUGUUGGACAAUUUGGAAAUUGAGAAAUAGUGUUGUUUUUUAUAAUAACAGGGUAAAUGAUCCUUGUAUACAUGUUAACUUACUACUCAAGAACUUAUAUGAUUGGAAUAUUUUGCAGAAAAACCCCGUAAGAAAUAAGAUGAUGGAGGCAGGUGUGAAGCAGAUUGGCGAGGUUGCUGAAGAAGUGUUCAAGGCAGUUCAUGGAUGGCGUCUGGGGACCAGAAGAAUUGUGGGAUAA
rnacentral:rRNA from 1 species